UUUUGUGGAUGAGCAAAGGAAGUGAUUUCCUGAGAUGGAAACUACUCGUGGUGAAGGUGUUGUGAA
rnacentral:pre_miRNA from 1 species